CCUACGGGAGGCAGCAGUGGGGAAUAUUGGGCAAUGGGCGCAAGCCUGACCCAGCAACGCCGCGUGAGCGAUGAAGGUCUUCGGAUUGUAAAGCUCUGUCGCAGGGGACGAAGUAUGACGGUACCCUGUAAGAAAGCCCCGGCAAACUACGUGCCAACAGCCGCGGUAAUACGUAGGGGGCUAGCGUUGUCCGGAAUUCCUGGGCGUAAGGGGAGUGUAGACGGCUUGUCAAGUUAAGUGUGUAAGCCUGCGGCUUAACCGUAGAAUUGCACUUAAAACUGACUCGCGAGAGUGCAGGAGAGGUGAGUGGAAUGCGUGGUGUAGCGGUGGAAUGCGUAGAUAUUAGGAGGAACACCAGAGGCGAAGGCGGCUCACUGGACUGUAACUGACGUUGAGGCUCGAAAGCGUGGGGAGCAAACAGGAUUAGAUACCCUUGUAGUC
rnacentral:rRNA from 1 species